UUUAUCGUUUCAUAAUUAGAAUAAUUAUUUUUAGGAAUUUACAAAAUUGUCAAAAUAUUAUUUUGAUAAAAAUCUGAUUUUAAAAUAUUUUCCAAGUCCAUUUAACUUCUAAAUCGCUUAUAAAUUUCAAUAAUGCUCCAUAAAUCCUGAGACUUUUAUUUUAUUCGUUUUAUAAUAUUCCGGGAUUUAUAAAAAUAUUUCAGUAACUUUUCGAAGAUAUUUUGUUACAAGUUAUUCCGAUAAUCGAUUAAAAGCAGGCUUAGAUUAGUGAUUAUUCAGCAUAAACGAGACACGUGGCAAGCCAGAGCUGCAGCACGUGCCCUGUACCACCGCCAUUCUUUUCUUUUAAUUCCAGUUCUCCCCUUUCCCUUUUAUUUCCAUGUUAAUCUCUCCUCACCCCCUCUGCUAAUCUCUCACACUCUCUCCCGUACAUAUCUCCUCCAUUCCUCUUCCACCUUUGUUCCCCGUUCUUUUCUUUUCCCCCGAAACCCGCCGCCGCAGCUGUUCAAACUCCGGCCAGUUGCCGGCACCACCACUGUGUUGUUUCUUCUGAUUAAUUCACCCGCGAUUCUUCGAGUUCCUAGGCAAUCCAGACGCAGGCUUGCUGUUUUCGGACGAAUCCAGCCCUGUUCUUCAGCCUCCAGUGUUGUGUUAGCGCGGUUCCGGUUAGAGAGCCUAACAGUAUAGUGCAGUCUUAUCUCUAGCAUUCUAUUAUCAAGAUGCCAAGGAUUAGAGCAGCUGCUUAUAAGGUUUCCCAGAGUUAUCUUUUGUGCUAGGAAAAUCGCAGGAUGAUGCUAGGAGUCUUGGACUAAGUGUGGAUUAGUUAGUACGACUUGUUUCUUUGAAGUUGUAUUAUAGUGUCAGUAUGGUUGUAGUGGAAAACUCAUGUAGUAAGGAACCUAUGUCGUCGUUCGUUUGCAGUAACAGUUUAAACCUUUCGCAGACUUAAACCUGGCAAGAUCUUUGGUCAGGGGUGUAAUGGUAAAUAUUUAUUAUGUUAAUCUAUUCAGCUGUCAUUAGUUUA